rnacentral:lncRNA from 1 species
UCUUUCAUGGCAUCAUUUUUUCUAACGAAUAAAACAAAACGUUUGUGUACAAACAUAUUAACAAAAUCGGAUGUGUCAGAACCUUAGACAUAGAUCUACAUCCACUAACAUAAAAUUAAUAAAUAUGGUGAAUUAGAAAGAGGCAGUGAUGUAGAAAAAGAAUAAAGGCGGUUUUAGAUCACGAUCCAUAUCUAUAACCUUAAAAAGAAAAAUCAAUGACGGUUAAUCCACAUAAACCUUCACAUCAUCGAACCUUCAUCUUGUACAAAGAGCAUAAAACAAUCAUUAAAAUAAAAAACAAAAUCGAACAGAAAGUAAGUAAGAAUCGCUUAUCAACUACAAAACGCAGACUAAAAAAUCAAACAUAAGCUCAUAUAUUGGGAUUUUAGACGGAACAUGCCUACGUUUUGUAAACAUAUCUCAGAGAGAAAGAAUAUCGCCUGCUCCUGGAAGUCGGUUGUUGUGGUUGUGUUUUUGGUAGAGAAGUCGGUGUGAGAUGGUUUAGAGCUAGGAGAGACCACAUAAAAAUAGAAGGGAAUGUUGGAGGUGACGGUAGAAGGUGAGUAUGUGCGAUGGGAGAUUUUAGGGUUUUUUGUGGAAUUUAUUCUUAAACUCUAACGAAUGAGGGGAGUGUGUGCGAUGGGAGUAUCUGAGUGGAGAGAAUAGGCAAUCCGUUGAUAUAUUUUAUUGAUUUUCAUCCGUUGGAUCAAACAAAAGUCGAG